CAAGAGCGUAUAUUAAAGUUGUUGCAGUUAAAAAGCUCGUAGUUGGAUUUCUGGUACAAUGCGCCUGGCCCGCGACCGUUAGGUCGUGAGUGCCGGUGCGCGUUUGCCAUCCUUCUAGAAAACGUUUCUGCUCUUUACCGGAGUUGGACUCGCGAUCUAGAUCUUUUACUUUGAAAAAUUAGAGUGUUUAAAGCAGGCUUAGGCCGUUGAAUACAUUAGCAUGGAAUAAUAAGAUAAGACUUGGGUCAUUAUUUUGUGGUUUGCGGAUCGAGGUAAUGAUUAAUAGGGAUAGUUGGGGGUAUUCAUAUUUAAUUGUCAGAGGUGAAAUUCUUGGAUUUAUGAAAGAUGAACUUAGGCGAAAGCAUUUACCAAGGAUGUUUUUCAUUAAUCAAGAACGAAAGUUAGGGGAUCGAAGAUGAUUAGAU
rnacentral:rRNA from 1 species